GACGAACGCUGGCGGCGUGCCUAAUACAUGCAAGUCGAACGAGAGCGACCGGUGCUUGCACUGGUCAAUCUAGUGGCGAACGGGUGAGUAACACGUGGGUAACCUGCCCAUCAGAGGGGGAUAACAUUCGGAAACGGAUGCUAAAACCGCAUAGGUCUUCGAACCGCAUGGUUUGAAGAGGAAAAGAGGCGCAAGCUUCUGCUGAUGGUUGGACCCGCGGUGCAUUAGCUAGUUGGUGAGGUAACGGCUCACCAAGGCCGUGAUGCAUAGCCGACCUGAGAGGGUGAUCGGCCACAUUGGGACUGAGACACGGCCCAGACUCCUACGGGAGGCAGCAGUAGGGAAUCUUCCGCAAUGGACGCAAGUCUGACGGAGCAACGCCGCGUGAGUGAAGAAGGUUUUCGGAUCGUAAAACUCUGUUGUUAGAGAAGAAUAAGUGCUAGAGUAACUGUUAGCGCCUUGACGGUAGCUAACCAGAAAGCCACGGCUAACUACGUG
rnacentral:rRNA from 1 species